rnacentral:rRNA from 1 species
UACGUAGGGGGCAAGCGUUAUCCGGAUUUACUGGGUGUAAAGGGAGCGCAGACGGCAAUGCAAGUCUGAUGUGAAACUCUGGGGCUUAACCCCAGACCUGCAUUGGAAACUGUAUAGCUUGAGUAUCGGAGAGGUGAGCGGAAUUCCUGGUGUAGCGGUGAAAUGCGCAGAUAUCAGGAAGAACACCGGCGGCGAAGGCGGCUCACUGGACGACAACUGACGUUGAGGCUCGAAAGCGUGGGUAGCAAAC